rnacentral:rRNA from 1 species
AUUGAACGCUGGCGGCAUGCCUUACACAUGCAAGUCGAACGGUAACAGGGAGCUUGCUCCGCUGACGAGUGGCGAACGGGUGAGUAAUGUAUCGGAACGUACCUUUUAGUGGGGGAUAACGUAGCGAAAGUUACGCUAAUACCGCAUAUUCUCUGAGGAGGAAAGCAGGGGACCUUCGGGCCUUGCGCUAAUAGAGCGGCUGAUAUCAGAUUAGCUAGUUGGUGAGGUAAAGGCUCACCAAGGCGACGAUCUGUAGCGGGUCUGAGAGGAUGAUCCGCCACACUGGAACUGAGACACGGUCCAGACUCCUACGGGAGGCAGCAGUGGGGAAUUUUGGACAAUGGGGGCAACCCUGAUCCAGCCAUGCCGCGUGAGUGAAGAAGGCCUUCGGGUUGUAAAGCUCUUUCGGCCGGGAAAAAAUCGCAUGGGUUAAUACCCUGUGUGGAUGAUGGUACCGGAAUAAGAAGCACCGGCUAACUACGUGCCAGCCGCCGCAGUAA